UACGUAGGGUGCGAGCGUUGUCCGGAAUUACUGGGCGUAAAGAGCUCGUAGGUGGUUUGUCGCGUUGUUCGUGAAAACUCACAACUCAAUUGUGGGCGUGCGGGCGAUACGGGCAGACUGGAGUACUGCAGGGGAGAACGGAAUUCCUGGUGUAGCGGUGAAAUGCGCAGAUAUCAGGAGGAACACCGGUGGCGAAGGCGGUCUGCUGGGCAGUUGCUGCACUGGAUGCGCGACAGCGUGGGGAG
rnacentral:rRNA from 1 species